GAUGAACGCUGGCGGCGUGCCUAAUACAUGCAAGUCGAACGAACAGACAAGGCGCUUGCUCCUUUGACGUUAGCGGCAGACGGGUGAAUAACACGUGUAUACCCUACCUAUAAUACUGAUAUAACUUCGGGAAACCGGCGAUAAUCCCGGAUAACAUUUUGCACCACGGGGUUCUAUAGUGAAAGUCGGUGGUGCUGUAACUUAUAGAUGGAUCCGCGCCGUAGUAGCUAGUUGGGAAGGUAACAGCUUACCAAGGCAACGAUGCGUAGCCGACCUGAGAGGGUGAUAGGCCACACUGGAACUGAGACACGGUCAAGACUCCUACGGUAGGCAGCAGUAGGGAAUCUGCCGCAAUGGGCGAAAGCCUGACGGAGCAACGCCGAGUGAGUGAUGAAGGUCUUCGGAUCGUAAAACUCGGUUAUUAGGGAAGAACAAAUGUGUAAGUAACUGUGCACGUCUUGACGGUACCUAAUCAGAAAGCCACGGCUAACUACGUG
rnacentral:rRNA from 1 species